UGCCGUUCCCUCGGGUCCUGUCGCUGUCCCCAGAGAGCAGAGCUCAGCGCCUGCCCCUCCGCUCCCCUCGUGAGGGAGCUGCAGGCCGCCAUGAGGCCUCCCCUCAGCCCCCUCUGCUCGGGCUGGACAAACAAAGUAUAAGAAGUAUCUUUGAAUGUGUAACCAGGGUUGCCCCUUUCCAGGUGCAGAAUCCGGCACUUGCUCUUGUUAAACCUCAUAUUGCUGGUGAUUGCCCUGCUCCCUAAUUUGUCAAGAUCUCUCUGGAAGGCUUCACCACCCUCGAUGGAGUCAACAGCUUUACCCGAUUUGGUAUAAUCUGCAAUCUUGCUUAAAAAACCUUAAAAGUCCUUCAUCCAAAUCGUUUAUGAAAACGUUGAAGAGGACUGGUCCUAAAAUGGAGCCCUGACGAACCUGCCUAGUGACAGGUCACCAGCCUGAUCUAACCCCAUUUACAGGAACCCUCUGGGCCUGACACGUCAGACAAUUCUUCACCCAUCCUAUUGUGCUUUUAUUUAACUGUAUUUGGGUCACUUUGUCUAGAAGGAUACUCUGCGAGACAGUAUCAAAAGUUUUACUAAAACCCAGAAAGAUUAUAUUGACUGGCUUGCUUUGGCCAACUAGCUGGGUGAUCUUGUUGUGGAGGGAAAUGAGACACCAAAUAGAUCUUAAGCAGUGAGCCACAGAAGAAGUUCGACAUGGAAAGUUACUGGUACAGAAAUCUUGCGAAUCAGGUAUUUUUUUUUCUUCUGUUUUUAAGGUCUUAAGAAUGGAGUAAGCAAGGGGUAUGUCUACGUAAGUAUUUUAGUUUGUAACAGAACUUUUCUUUUGAAGUGAAUCUGGCUGCGUUAUGGUUUGCACUUUUGAAAUGGGCUUGAACUGCGUGUAUUUGAUUCAUUUUGGAUGAAUUGGAAGAUGUAUGCCAGGACAGACCAAAUAUAUUCCAGACAGAAACAGGUCUUUGGUCCUUGUGGCCAAAACAGAACUUUUCAAAAGAAUGACAACCAAAAUGCCGAAAUGUUUGUAGUGUGGGUGUUAGAUUCUUACAUUGGCUCUGCAGUUUUACCCGUACUGUAGCAGUCUUAGUCAAGGUGAUAUCCAUGGGAAUGGUGAUAAAGAUAUAAAGAAGGCAGAGCUUACACAAAAAGUGUGGUAUGAAACUCAAAAGAUCUUGCACUGAGGAGGAGAACUCAGGUUUUAUGAGGGCAUCAGGUACAGCAUGAACUUGGUUUAAAAACAUUCCAUCCUUGUCAGGAAAGUUGAAGAAAAUGCAGAGAAUAAAGUUGGGGUACUGCAAAGGAUGUGUCUUUAGCCUACAGAGUAACCCAGAAUACUUGAGAACUUGAGUGAAAUGAUAUGUCAAGUUUAAUAUUUUUGUCCAGUUUGAAGUAAUGGUUAUGUGGUCAAGAGAUCAUGGCUGUGUUCAAGACGUCUGUGUAAUACCAGUCUGUGUUUAGGUUUGUUUGUACUUGCUGUAUAUUUCUUAAGCUAGGCAAAAGGUUGCUACUUCAUGGAAUGAAUGAUGAGGACACGUUUGAGAGUCAUGGAAGAUUUUGAAGGGUUUGUGUUAGCGCCAUAUUGCUAUGGAGCUAUGAGGUUUUUUGUGCCAGUGACUACUUAGUUCUGGUUCGAGGACAUGAAAGCACACAGGGAUCCAAGCAGCCUUCCGAGUGUCCAAGAGAUAGCACUAAGCUACACAUUUCUGAUAUGUCUGUUUUAAAAUGUCAGUUCCUGACUUUUCAUGCCUCAGAAUGUUGGUUCAGUUUUGCAAUCUCUCAAGUAUUGAGCUCUCCAGACUUGCUUGGGCUAAGCUGGGGAUAUGUGCACAUGUGGUUCAUGAAACUUCCAUGAGGUAACCAGUAACCACUCCAGAUUUAGACAAGCCUUCCUGACUUUGUCUGGUGUUGUCUUGCUUCCUCAUUUUUGUUUGUUAGUUUUCUGUACGUUGGAACUCAUUCCUGUGGACCAGAUUGUAUUUAAAUCCACAACAAAUACAGCCAUAAUCAGGCUAUCUACAGAGUUGCCAAGAGGAAAGAACUUGAAUCUAAGCCUAAAAUUCAGAUUGUUCUGUGUAGAAGUUGAAGGAAGUUGUAUGGCUUAAGGAGAGGCCACUGCUUUAGUGAUCAGGGCAGUAACAUGACUGGAGAAGAGAAACUCAGGAAAUACGUAGGGGUCCAGCCCCAUUGAAGGAGAAACUUCAAGAGAACGAAAAGUUUUUCUGAGAAAGCUCCUGCGAGAAAAAAAAGGCAUCUAGAUAUUCCAGAAGAAAGAGACUACCUUUUCUCAGCUGGCGGAGAAAGUGAAAAGAACUGGAAAACCUGCAUGCAAAAGGUAAAAAAUGUAAGUAUUAGCCUUCUGGAUGCUCUGUGUUUUGGAAACCCAGCAACACUUGUAAAUUACUGAGCAGAUGUGAGCUGCAUUAACUUGGUCUUACUAAACUUGGUUAAAACACAACCUACAACAGCGAAUGCCUAGAGAACAAUGAAGAGAUAAAGCUACAAGUGGUGACGUUUGAGCUGCAGUUCCUGAUCCGUUUUACAGGAACAAUUAGGACUGAAGUGUAAUGUCAGUUUGACUGAAGGUCAGGGCCUAAGUAGUCUUUUAAAACUGAGACUUCAGUAGUAAAGACUCAAAGCUGAGAAUAACUGUACUCCAGAAAAAUGGGCUGUUUUUAUUUUGUUGUGAUAGCUGUACUUCUGUUACAUUCUGUCAAUGGACGAGUUCUGUUUCUGUGGAGAAGGUACAGAUUAUCUAGAAACUUCCUAAAACAUUGUUCUUGAUAUUAAACAUUGAUAGUGUAUGUUAAUUGAAGGAUGGAAACUAGAUCUGGAAAAGCCACACAUGAAGCUGUUCUGUGCCUUGGAAGCGUAGCCAAUCUGUAAAUGUCGUUUUACAUGAAAUGAGGAGGUAUUAUCACUGCUUUAGACUGUGGCAGCUAGCAACUGGUUGGAGUCACAGAGUUUUAGUCUCUUACAAGAUCAUUUACCUUUGCAGGGCUGAGAUAAAUCUAUUUAUCCCUAUGCCUCUGUUUUAUUGUAGUAGUAAGGUCCACACUUCAUUGUGUGUGGUGUGGAUGGAAUAACAAUUCAGGAGGGAAAUGUCUGGGGAAAAGUAAAGGAAGAGGUGAAGAGAAAAAGAGUAAAGAUAAAGUGAAUGUGGUGAUGCUGCAGUCAAAGCCCAUGCAUGUUCGUGUUUUAUUAGGGCAAAGAGUGGGAAGGAUGUUCUCGUGAAAGGCCUCUUUUGCUUUCUCCUUCCAUGGCGAUACAAAUUUGCGUAUGCCUAGCAUGGUUCAUUUUAGGUUGUUUGCUCUGUGCGCAGGAGUAGAAACCCAGUAAAGAUGCCAGGUAAUUCGAGAGAUUGGUUCCUCCUCUCUGAUUCGGCUCCAUGAGUGCAGGUCUUUCUGUCAUUUAAUCAGUGCAGGUCAAGGGGGGCUCAGCACCUGUGUUGCAUCAGAGCUCAUCCUCCUCUGAAUAGCACUGGUACUGUUGCACGGUACGGAGGUUCCAGUAAGCUGUGCUGACAAACCUAACAUCACACUGCUCAUGUAGGUCUUGCUUUCUGUGGUCUUUUUAUUGGAAUGCUCUGAAUGAUUAGAUUACAAAUGAGCGUGAUUCCUAUUGAUAGUGUUCUUUUUUCUUUACAACAACUUCUGCAAUUGGAUUUCACUUGACUUACUUAUUAGUGCCAACACUUUAUUCCAUAAAUUGCUUCUGGAUAUCUUCAGCAAGAACACUUGGUUUUCUGUGUGAUGGAAUUAUUCAGUGAAUUGUAGCUUUUUUUUUUUUUUUUUUUUUUUUUCUAUUAUAGUUAGAAGAACCUAAUUUGUUUCUUAAUAUUGUGGCUUUUUAUCACUUAACAGUUCAGCAGUGCCCAGAAAAUUGCUUACGCUUUCAUUCACAGUAGAGCAAACAACAUGCAUUUGCUUUUCCAACUGUGACAUAGGAAUAUUCAUGUUUUGAAUUAGAAGAUGUGAAGUAAGUGGGAGACUUGAUACAGCUGACUUUUCACUCUGAGACACCUCUCUGGAUUGCAUCUUGGUCUCCUUGGAGGCUGCUGCUAUCAUUAAGUCAUAAGCUAGCCCAGGGCCCUCCUGUCUUGCUGCUGUGUAAACAGAAUGGAAUUUCAGCUCCGUGGCCAAACAAGAUGCAUCAUGACUGUAGUCCAGGAGUUAGGACACUUAUUUAUAUCCAGUGAAGAUCAGCUUAGAGAAUCGUGGAAAACGAUUCUCUGGUCCCAGAAGAGAUGUUGAACACCAGUGUGAGGGUCAGGCAGUUUUGCAGAGGAAGCUGGGAACAAGAAGAGGAUAUAAUUAUGUUCCUGUACUUCAGAUUCAAAUCCUCUGUACCAUUUUAAAAAUAUAUAGGAUAUGAUAUGCUGACUACUUCAAAUGCAGGAUAUAGGAUAUGACGGCAGACUUUUUGUAUUAAUUAACAUUUUCCCUCAGAUAGCUUUUCUUAACUAAAUGAAAAAGAAAAAAGUUCUGACUGCAUUUUAUAAGUGUUCUGAUCUUGGUGGUGUGUGCGUGUGAGGCAUGCUGUAAGCAGGCUUACCCUAUGCACCCUCUUUCAAAAUAUGGGUAAGCAUAAAGCUCUCUGGAGAUGAUCAGAAAACUUGUAGGUAAAACAGGUGGGUUCCUUGCACACUUAAGCAGGACAAAGGUGGUGUUCUUUCUGAGUUCUUUUGGGCAUGGAUGAGCUCCCUAUUUGUGUCACAUUUAGCGUCUUUGCCUUCAGAGUUGAAUGAGAGGCUGUGUGUGUUAUGGAAACCAUCUGCAAAAUCAGAAGAAUGGAGUGACAUUAUCUUCUAAAGAAAAAUAAACAUGUUUAUGAAACUGUUUGAAACCUUUCCAUGGGUACAUUUACCCUUGUAAGAGGUUUUGUUGAGACUGUGUUUGUCAUAGUAGUAGUGCUUCUUCAUCAGUAUGCUAGGAAAGUGAUUUUCUGAGUUCAUUCUUUAUUACUGAAAGAAAACAAAGUGUAUAGCAGAACAAUGACCCUUGUCUUCAGAAGAAUGGAUGUAAGCUUGUUGGAGGUGGAUGACAUCCCAUUGGAGGCAGCAGAGGAGAGUAAAGAGGGCCAAGAGAGCUUUUUGAUGGUCAAGCGUAGCAUCCUUCAUGCAUAGAAAGGGAACGUUUUGAAGUUUAUGAGCUGUGUAUAUGGCAGGGGGUCCCAGUGGCUAGCUGGGGAGCUCAGACUGAACUCAGCUGGACUUGUACAUGGAUGGAAGUGGGAAUGGUCCACAUGACAUAAACGGACAUUGCUAAGAUGGCAUAGAGGAGCUAGCUGCUUCUGAAGGGGAUCUGAAAUUUGUGGUGGAUGAGAAAAGCAACAAGAAAGGCUGUUAGAGCUGCAUAAGCGACAACAGAGGGGACUAAGGAAUACGUGGACCUGCUGAAGAAUGGGGUGGUGGGCCUGGUGAUAUAGGAAGUAAAAAUGGUUGAGUUACUCAGUAGAUAACUGGCAAGGUUUGUUGUCAAGUCUUCUAGAUCCAUGUGCCCAGAGGCCAAGUCUGGGCCAUGGUAAAGGAAGUCUGAGAUGGGGAUUCCUUAAGCAGUCUGGACACAUACAGAAAUUCAUGGAUGCAUCCAGUGCUGCUGAGGGAGCUGGCCAAUGUCAUUGGUCAACACUGCUCUCUGUGACCAUCAAAAGGGCAUGAUGAUUCGAUGAAGUUCAUGAUGACCAGAAGAAGGCAAGCAUCCUCGAGAAAAAUUAGGUGAAUUUGGGGAACUUCAGGCUAGGCAGCCUAAUCAGAAUCCUCAGGAACAUUAUGGAGCCACUCUUCCUGGAAGCCAGGCACAGCUGGAAAAGGUGACUGGGAACAGAAAAGACAGGUUUACUGAGAAAGAUGUGAUUGUCUUCUUCAAAGAGAUGAUUAGUUGUGUGAACGAGGGGAGAGCGGAAUUUUAAAGUCUUUGUAGCUAAGAUGGAGAAGUAUGCUGUGGACUGACAGAUCAUCAGUUGAGUGGAAAAUGGGCUGGACCAAUGGACUCAAAGGGUUCAGAUGGCAGCUGGUUUUACCUGGCAUUGCUCAGAGGCUGAUGUUAGGGAUGCUCACAUUUAAUGUUCUCAUAAGUUACCCAGAUAUUGGGAUGGAGAGCAUCCGCAGAAGUUCAUGUCACACAAAACUGGGUUGUGGAGUGCCUGAUGAGCUGUAAGUCAGGCCUGAUAUCCAGAGGCACCUGGACACAUUGGAGAAGUGGGCUGAGAGGGACCUUCCAAAGUUAAGUCAGAUGCAGAGUUUCGGCACUCAGAAGGGACCAGUCUACAGGUUUGCUGGGAUUGACUUGCUAGAAAGCUGCUUGCAAAGCUGGAUCUUGGGAUUUUGGUUGGACAAAAAUCAGCAACAUGCCCUUGCAGCAAUGAAGGCCAGGCGCACCCUGGGCAGCAUAAGCAGCAGCAUAAUUGAGGGAACUCACUAAUCCCAUGCAUUUUGCUCUUGUGAGACUACAUCUGUAACGCUGUGUCCAGUUUUGGGGUCACCAGUACAGGGAAGAUGCAGACGUACUGGAGAGAGGCUUGUGGAGGGCCAGUGAGGGGGGAUUGAGCCUAUGGCAUGCAAACAGUCUGAGAAGCUGGGUUCAUUUGUCUUGAAGAGGAGAUGUCUUAGAGGGAGCUUUCUAAUUUCUGUUUUCUUCUAUCCAAUGUGUAGUCAUAGGGAAGACAGACUCUUGGAAGUGCACGUGGAAAGGGUAAGAAGUAAUGGACUGAUGUUGCAGCAGGAGAAAUUCUGACUAGAUAUCAGGAAAAAAAAAUCUUCACAGUGAGGAAGAUCAAAUGCUGGUUGUUCAGGGAGGCUGUAGUAUCUCCAUCCUUGCCAGAUGCUCAAAGCCUGAUUAGACAAACCCCUGAGCAAUGUGGAUCUGGCUUGAAAGCUGGCUCUCGUCUUAAUAGGGAAGCAGACCAGACAGCCUGCAAAGGUCCCUUCCAAUGUUUUUGUGUGAUUCUAUUAACAGCAGCGUAAAUAUCUUCAAAGUAGGUCCAGAAUAAAGUGAUGCAAGCAACAAGGAAGUCACAAAGAGAAAAAAAAUAAAAAGUGAAAAGCCAGAAUUGCAGAACUGAAAUAAAAAGCAUGUGAAAGAGGAAAAAGUCAGUUGUAUUUGGAAGUUCUGUUACUUUGAAAGCAUAAAUUUACACUUAUAAGCCUUUAUGUGUUUAUACAGAAUUUAUGUAAUAUCUCUCUUUUUGUUUUGAGGGUGGGAGAAAUGUCAUAUUACACUGUUUAUUGUUUGCCACAAUUAAUUAGAAAUCAGUGAUUGGAAACUAUUAAUCAGAAGAUGGAACACACUUCUUUAGACCACUGAAGGAAAAGAAAUGGAAUAAAAGAGUAUCAGAGCUGUUACAAAGAGACUGAACUUUGUUUUGAAAAAUGCAUGACUGUUUCUUGCCUUCCAGAACAUAAAUGGUAAGACAUGUGUGGCUAAUGUCCUUUACCCGCUUUCCAUCCCCUGAUGGGCUUCAACUGCCACGGGACAUCAUUCAGCCUCUGUUAAUCCCCUUGUGUGAACUCAGACAAGUGCCAUGGUGGUCACUGAGAAGCCAAAAACAAAACCUGAAGCGGUGUAGCUUGUAAUCUAAUUAAAAUUUUCAUUUUGUAAAAGAUUUUGGGAAUUGCGUAAGCUGGUGCCUACCUCAGAUGCUUGCUUGGCUUAAAAUGUAUGUGUGCAAUGUACAUAUGUUACUUGACUCUUUUUAAGCCAAAAAUAAAAUGUAUGUAAUUUCUUGUUUGCCUUUUAUACAGUAGAGCCUGGACUUCUGACUGCUGCACAGUGAUCCCAGCUGACUGCUUUUUGGAUAAUAAAAGGCCAGUUCUGUGCUGCCUUCCAGAUUGCUUGCAUAAAAGAGAACCUCAGCAACACUUGUGUAGCCAAGUCGGGUCAAAAUUUCAGACUGAAAAGAGAAGCAGAUCUUGAAAGAAAAGCUCUUGGUCAGAUUUAUGUGUCUGAGUUUCAUGAUGUUCUGCUUGGUGUUCUCUUCUUUGUCAGCCUCUGAUGUUUUAUAUAGCUGCAUAGAUUUCAGUAUUAUGAUUUACCAAAAUUGUAAAUUUUAAUUGGAAAGAUGAUGGCUGAAUGGCUCCAUGUGGUUAAAAGGAUAGGUUCUUACGUAGCUUUUGCUUCACAUCUAUAAAAUGUGUGAUGAAAUGUCAGAUGCUUUAAUUAGACCGUUAAAAGAUACAAAGCAGUUUAACUGGUGGAUGUUAAUGAAGAGAUGUCUAGGAGUGCCUAAAGCCAAACAAAAAGCUGUUCUAUUAGUGCUGCUAUCUGAAACUCCAAAACCCAAAUGUCACACUGGACUGUAUUCCUCUUGGGUCUUGUAUCUAGAAAAGCUCCUAUUUUGUUUAUGUUUAGGAAAAAAUGGAAAGAAAGGUGUGCAUAUGAUGUGAGUAUACUUGUAAAUAUACUGUAAAUUGUGCUGUAAAUAUUUAGAAUGUUAAUUUGGAUCAUUGGUGUUGUCAACUAAUAAAACAGCAUAAAUUAUU